rnacentral:rRNA from 1 species
GAUGAGCCCGCGUUGGAUUAGCUAGUUGGUGGGGUAAAGGCCUACCAAGGCGACGAUCCAUAGCUGGUCUGAGAGGAUGAUCAGCCACAUUGGGACUGAGACACGGCCCAAACUCCUACGGGAGGCAGCAGUGGGGAAUAUUGGACAAUGGGCGCAAGCCUGAUCCAGCCAUGCCGCGUGAGUGAUGAAGGUCUUAGGAUUGUAAAGCUCUUUCACCGGGGACGAUAAUGACGGUACCCGGAGAAGAAGCCCCGGCUAACUUCGUGCCAGCAGCCGCGGUAAUACGAAGGGGGCUAGCGUUGUUCGGAAUUACUGGGCGUAAAGCGCACGUAGGCGGAUAUUUAAGUCAGGGGUGAAAUCCCGGGGCUCAACCCCGGAACUGCCUUUGAUACUGGGUAUCUUGAGUGUGGUAGAGGUGAGUGGAAUUGCGAGUGUAGAGGUGAAAUUCGUAGAUAUUCGCAGGAACACCAGUGGCGAAGGCGGCUCACUGGACCACAACUGACGCUGAGGUGCGAAAGCGUGGGGAGC